GAAGGGCUUACCAUUGCUCAGGUUGCAAUGGUAUAGGGCAUAACGUGACGAGGUGUAGUCGGGUUAAUGCAAAUACUGAGGAUGCAAAUACCCAAUUGCUCAAUCAACCAAUGCAAAUAGAUUUGAACAAUCCUCCCAAUAAUGAAUGGUACCACUCGAGUCAAUCUGCAUAGACCGUUUACUAAGCAGCAAAACUUGGGAGGGAGAGGAGGUCGUGGCAUGUACAUGAGGACUGCACCAGAUAGGAUAUUGGAGAAGGUGACGGAGAGCGUAAAGGGUGCAGAGGAGGCGUGUGCUGGUGAACCAACAAGCAGGGAGUGUGCAACGGUGUGGGAUGAGGUGGAAGAGGUGAGUGCAACAGCCAUCCUUGGUAGACGAAAAAAGAAGAAAACCUACCCACUGGAGGCCUACUGCAAGGACAACCCCGCUACUGAUGAAUGCCUUACCUAUGAGGAUUGAGGCCCUCUUGGCCUUAUCUCUUAUUCUUUCUGUUAUUAAUUCAUAAUCUACUUGAAAGUGCAAAAUUCAAUUAUUCAAAAAUUUUGUAUUUGAUUUUUGUCCAACUCCAAGGUACUUCGAUGGAUUUCCAUAUUACUUCACAG